UGGGAGGGGAAUGGAUCAAAACACAAAUUGGUCAAAGAAUGACUUUUACCAAAUUAAUAUCAUCCAUUCAUUUUGGGAGAUGGAAUAUACAUUCCAUUAAUCCCCUAAAUCCAAUGAUAUUAACUUGACAAAGUCAAAUCAUCCUUGACCAAUGCCUAAGAACAAGAGUUAAACAUAAACAAGUCAUUACAAUUGGUCAAUGUCAUACGGUGAACUGGACUUUUUGUGGUUUUAAUCGCAAUGUCGCGGUUAGCAAGAGUCGCCAUCGACUUUU
rnacentral:lncRNA from 1 species